GAUGAAGAACGUAGCGAAAUGCGAUAAGUAAUGUGAAUUGCAGAAAUCAGUGAAUCAUCGAAUCUUUGAACGCACAUUGCGCCCGCCAGUAUUCUGGCGGGCAUGCCUGUUCGAGCGUCAUUACAACCCUCAGGCCCCCGGGCCUGGCGUUGGGGAUCGGCGGAGCCCCCCGUGGGCACACGCCGUCCCCCAAAUACAGUGGCGGUCCCGCCGCAGCUUCCAUCGCGUAGUAGCUAACACCUCGCGACUGGAGAGCGGCGCGGCCACGCCGUAAAACACCCAACUCUUCUGAAGUUGACCUCGAAUCAGGUAGGAAUACCCGCUGAACUUAAGCAUAUCAAUAAGCGGAGGA
rnacentral:misc_RNA from 1 species